rnacentral:rRNA from 1 species
GGGUUGUGAGGUUAAGCGACUAAGCGUACACGGUGGAUGCCCUGGCAGUCAGAGGCGAUGAAGGACGUGCUAAUCUGCGAAAAGCGUCGGUAAGGUGAUAUGAACCGUUAUAGCCGGCGAUGUCCGAAUGGGGAAACCCAGUGUGAUUCGUCACACUAUCGUUAACUGAAUACAUAGGUUAACGAGGCGAACCGGGGGAACUGAAACAUCUAAGUACCCCGAGGAAAAGAAAUCAACCGAGAUUCCCCCAGUAGCGGCGAGCGAACGGGGAGCAGCCCAGAGUCUGAAUCAGCUUGUGUGUUAGUGGAACGGUCUGGAAAGUCCGACGGUACAGGGUGAUAGUCCCGUACACCAAAAUGCACAGGCUGUGAACUCGAAGAGUAGGGCGGGACACGUGGUAUCCUGUCUGAAUAUGGGGGGACCAUCCUCCAAGGCUAAAUACUCCUGACUGACCGAUAGUGAACCAGUACCGUGAGGGAAAGGCGAAAAGAACCCCGGCGAGGGGAGUGAAAAAGAACCUGAAACCGUGUACGUACAAGCAGUGGGAGCACCUUCGGGUGUGACUGCGUACCUUUUGUAUAAUGGGUCAGCGACUUAUAUUCUGUAGCAAGGUUAACCGUAUAGGGGAGCCGCAGGGAAACCGAGUCUUAACUGGGCGUUAAGUUGCAGGGUAUAGACCCGAAACCCGGUGAUCUAGCCAUGGGCAGGUUGAAGGUUGGGUAACACUAACUGGAGGACCGAACCGACUAAUGUUGAAAAAUUAGCGGAUGACUUGUGGCUGGGGGUGAAAGGCCAAUCAAACCGGGAGAUAGCUGGUUCUCCCCGAAAGCUAUUUAGGUAGCGCCUCGUGAAUUCAUCUUCGGGGGUAGAGCACUGUUUCGGCUAGGGGGUCAUCCCGACUUACCAACCCGAUGCAAACUACGAAUACCGAAGAAUGUUAUCACGGGAGACACACGGCGGGUGCUAACGUCCGUCGUGAAGAGGGAAACAACCCAGACCGCCAGCUAAGGUCCCAAAGUCAUGGUUAAGUGGGAAACGAUGUGGGAAGGCACAGACAGCCAGGAUGUUGGCUUAGAAGCAGCCAUCAUUUAAAGAAAGCGUAAUAGCUCACUGGUCGAGUCGGCCUGCGCGGAAGAUGUAACGGGGCUAAACCAUGCACCGAAGCUGCGGCAGCGACACUAUGUGUUGUUGGGUAGGGGAGCGUUCUGUAAGCCUGCGAAGGUGACCUGUGAGGGUUGCUGGAGGUAUCAGAAGUGCGAAUGCUGACAUAAGUAACGAUAAAGCGGGUGAAAAGCCCGCUCGCCGGAAGACCAAGGGUUCCUGUCCAACGUUAAUCGGGGCAGGGUGAGUCGACCCCUAAGGCGAGGCCGAAAGGCGUAGUCGAUGGGAAACAGGUUAAUAUUCCUGUACUUGGUGUUACUGCGAAGGGGGGACGGAGAAGGCUAUGUUAGCCGGGCGACGGUUGUCCCGGUUUAAGCAUGUAGGCUGGUUGUCCAGGCAAAUCCGGAUAAUCAAGGCUGAGGUGUGAUGACGAGGCACUACGGUGCUGAAGUAACAAAUGCCCUGCUUCCAGGAAAAGCCUCUAAGCAUCAGGUAACAUCAAAUCGUACCCCAAACCGACACAGGUGGUCAGGUAGAGAAUACCAAGGCGCUUGAGAGAACUCGGGUGAAGGAACUAGGCAAAAUGGUGCCGUAACUUCGGGAGAAGGCACGCUGGUGUGUAGGUGAAGUCCCUGCGGAUGGAGCUGAGACCAGUCGAAGAUACCAGCUGGCUGCAACUGUUUAUUAAAAACACAGCACUGUGCAAACACGAAAGUGGACGUAUACGGUGUGACGCCUGCCCGGUGCCGGAAGGUUAAUUGAUGGGGUUAUCCGUAAGGAGAAGCUCUUGAUCGAAGCCCCGGUAAACGGCGGCCGUAACUAUAACGGUCCUAAGGUAGCGAAAUUCCUUGUCGGGUAAGUUCCGACCUGCACGAAUGGCGUAAUGAUGGCCAGGCUGUCUCCACCCGAGACUCAGUGAAAUUGAACUCGCUGUGAAGAUGCAGUGUACCCGCGGCAAGACGGAAAGACCCCGUGAACCUUUACUAUAGCUUGACACUGAACAUUGAGCCUUGAUGUGUAGGAUAGGUGGGAGGCUUUGAAGCGUGGACGCCAGUCUGCGUGGAGCCAACCUUGAAAUACCACCCUUUAAUGUUUGAUGUUCUAACGUUGGCCCCUGACCGGGGUUGCGGACAGUGUCUGGUGGGUAGUUUGACUGGGGCGGUCUCCUCCCAAAGCGUAACGGAGGAGCACGAAGGUUAGCUAAUCCUGGUCGGACAUCAGGAGGUUAGUGCAAUGGCAUAAGCUAGCUUGACUGCGAGCGUGACGGCGCGAGCAGGUGCGAAAGCAGGUCAUAGUGAUCCGGUGGUUCUGAAUGGAAGGGCCAUCGCUCAACGGAUAAAAGGUACUCCGGGGAUAACAGGCUGAUACCGCCCAAGAGUUCAUAUCGACGGCGGUGUUUGGCACCUCGAUGUCGGCUCAUCACAUCCUGGGGCUGAAGUAGGUCCCAAGGGUAUGGCUGUUCGCCAUUUAAAGUGGUACGCGAGCUGGGUUUAGAACGUCGUGAGACAGUUCGGUCCCUAUCUGCCGUGGGCGCUGGAGAAUUGAGGGGGGCUGCUCCUAGUACGAGAGGACCGGAGUGGACGCAUCACUGGUGUUCGGGUUGUCAUGCCAAUGGCACUGCCCGGUAGCUAAAUGCGGAAGAGAUAAGUGCUGAAAGCAUCUAAGCACGAAACUUGCCCCGAGAUGAGUUCUCCCUGAGACUUUAAGUCUCCUGAAGGAACGUUAAAGACGAUGACGUUGAUAGGCCGGGUGUGUAAGCGCAGCGAUGCGUUGAGCUAACCGGUACUAAUGAACCGUGAGGCUUAACCUUACAACGCCGAAG